rnacentral:rRNA from 1 species
GACGAACGCUGGCGGCGUGCUUAACACAUGCAAGUCGAACGGAAAGGCCCUGCUUUUGUGGGGUGCUCGAGUGGCGAACGGGUGAGUAACACGUGAGUAACCUGCCCUUGACUUUGGGAUAACUUCGGGAAACCGGGGCUAAUACCGGAUAGGAGCUCCUGCUGCAUGGUGGGGGUUGGAAAGUUUCGGCGGUUGGGGAUGGCCUCGCGGCUUAUCAGCUUGUUGGUGGGGUAGUGGCUUACCAAGGCUUUGACGGGUAGCCGACCUGAGAGGGUGACCGGCCACAUUGGGACUGAGAUACGGCCCAGACUCCUACGGGAGGCAGCAGUGGGGAAUAUUGCACAAUGGGCGGAAGCCUGAUGCAGCAACGCCGCGUGCGGGAUGACGGCCUUCGGGUUGUAAACCGCUUUCGCCUGUGACGAAGCGUGAGUGACGGUAAUGGGUAAAGAAGCACCGGCUAACUACGUG